rnacentral:rRNA from 1 species
ACUCCUACGGGAGGCAGCAGUGGGGAAUAUUGGACAAUGGGGGGACCCUGAUCCAGCCAUGCCGCGUGUGUGAAGAAGGCCUUAUGGUUGUAAAGCACUUUAAAGCGAGGAGGAGGCUACUGAGACUAAUACUCUUGGGANAGUGGACGUUACUCGCAGAAUAAGCACCGGCUAACUCUGUGCCAGCAGCCGCGGUAAUACAAGGGUGCGAGCGUUAAUCGGAUUUACUGGGCGUAAAGCGUGCGUAGGCGGCCAUUUAAGUCAAAUGUGAAAUCCCCCGNGNUUAACUUGGGAAUUGCAUUCGACUGGAUGGCUAGAGUAUGGGAGAGAUGGUAGAAUUUCCAGGUGUAGCGGUGAAAUGCGUAGAGAUCUGGAGGAAUACCGAUGGCGAAGGCAGCAUCUGGCCUAAUACUGACGCUGAGGUAC